rnacentral:rRNA from 1 species
UCUGGUUGAUCCUGCCAGUAGUGAUAUGCUUGUUUCAAAGAUUAAGCCAUGCAUGUCUAAGUAUAAGCGAACUUAUACAGUGAAACUGCGGAUGGCUCAUUAAAACAGUUUGAAUUUAUUUGAUGAAUGUAUGAGAAUACUACUUGGAUAACCGUAGUAAUUCUAGAGCUAAUACAUGCAACGACGCCCGACCGUUUCACUACGGAAGGGCUGUAUUUAUUGGAUACCAAAACCAUCCUUCCCUCGGGAAGUUUUGUUUGAUGAUUCACAAUAACUGAUCGGAUCGCCACUGUGGUGGCGACAGGUCAUUCAACAUUCUGCCCUAUCAGCUUUCGAUGGUUGUGUAGUGGACAACCAUGGCCAUAACGGGUAACGGAGAAUCAGGGUUCGAUUCCGGAGAAGGAGCUUGAGAAUUGGCUACUACAUCUAAGGAAGGCAGCAGGCGCGCAAAUUACCCAAUCCCGAUUCGGGGAGGUAGUGACAAAAAAUAACAAUACCGGGCCUUUUUGGGCUUGGUAAUUGGAAUGAGGGAGAGUUAAACGGACCAUCGAGUAUCCAUUGGAGGGCAAGUCUGGUGCAGCAGCUGCGGUAAUACCAGCUCCAAUAGCGUAUAUUAAAGUUGUUGCAGUUAAAAAGCUCGUAGUUGGACUUGUGUGCGCUGUCCGCGGGUGGCCUGCGCCCAAAAGGGCGUUUCGGUUCGGCCCCGGUGGCGCCUUGAAAUCUGCAGCUGGGGGGACGUUGGCCUUAACUGGUCGGCGACCGCACGCCGGCUGCUCGGUUACUGUGAGAAAAUUAGAGUGUUCAAGGCAGGCAUUGGGUGCAAUUGAAUACAUUAGCAUGGAAUAAUAAAAUAUGGCUCCUGCCGUAUUUUGUUGGUUUUGACUGGUGGGAGUAAUGAUUGAUAGGGACGGUUGGGGGUGCUAGUAUUGAGCGGCCAGAGGUGAAAUUCAUGGAUUCGCUCAAGACUAACUUAUGCGAAAGCAUUCACCAAGGACGUCCUCUUUAAUCAAGAACGAAAGUUGGGGGAUCGAAGACGAUCAGAUACCGUCGUAGUCUCAACCAUAAACUAUGUCGACUUGGGAUCGGCGGUAGUUUUUUCAUUAAGACACUGUCGGGACCACGGGAGAAAUCAAAGUGUCUGGACUCUGGGGGAAGUAUGGUCGCAAGGCUGAAACUUGAAGGAAUUGACGGAAGGGCACCACCAGGAGUGGAGCCUGCGGCUUAAUUUGACCCAACACGGGGAAACUUACCAGGUCCAGAGAUGUAGAGGAUUGACAGAUUGAAGCUCUUUCUUGAUCACUUCGGUGGUGGUGCAUGGCCGUUCUUAGUUGGUGGAGUGAUUUGUCUGGUUAAUUCCGUUAACGAACG